rnacentral:lncRNA from 1 species
CUUGGCUUUGUUGAACGUCACAGGGUUCUCCUGGGCUCACUGCUCAGCUUGUCUGGGUCUCUCUGGAUGGCAUCUUGUCCCUCAAGCAUGUUGUACAUCCUGGUGUCACCUGCAAACUUGCUGAAGGCACAUUUGAUUGCACUGUCGAUGUCACUGAUGAAAGUGUUAAAGGGUAUUGAUUGACCCUUGAGAGACACCACAGUCACCAGUCUUCAUCUGGACACUGAGCCAUGGACCACCACUCUCUGGGUACGAUCUCACAACCAGUUCUUCAUCCACUGAACAGUCCACCCAUCAAAUCCAUAUCUUUGCAGUUUGAGAGAAGGAUGUUGUGGGGGACAGUGUCAAACACCUCACUGAAGUCCUGCUGGGUGACAUCAGUGGCCCUCCCCUUGUUCACUGACAUGGUUACAAUGUCAUAGCGGGCCAUAAAAGGAUGUUUUAUUUGUUGAUUAUGCACGUUAGCAUGUGCAGUAUAUGCUGAACUUUGAUACUAUAUACUAUACUAUACAUAUACUGUACAUUUGCUGUACAUGGAAAGGAUAUACUAUGCCUACACGCAUAUUGUAUGUACUACUUCUCCUAGGCAAGAAGAAAGAAGGAAAGAAGGAGAGGAAGAAGUGCGCUUGAGCUCUGCCAACAGUGUCAGAGUGAGAUUUGUCUCUGCUGGAGACCAGUGGAAUCUCCUGUGGCUGGAAAAGAACUUCUGGGACUACUCCUCUGGCCAGAGUGUCAUACAGAAGCCUGAAGACAGACAUUUCCUUCAGUACGAUGAGCAAAUGGCAGCCUCAGCUCCUGCUGGAAAUACAGGUCAGUUUGUGCUUCAGAAUGUGGUGCCCUUGUGCACAGCCCUGGGUCCCACAGCCUCUGCAAGUUGCUGGAGCAGUGAUUUCUUAGCCUACUCUUCAGUUCAUUGCUUAUCUGCUCCCAUAACUGCAUGGUGCGCUUGAGUCGCACGUGGAAUAUUUUGCUUCAUUCAGAUGGCUGACAAAAGUGUUUCUGCUUUGGAGAUUUGCAAUUUUACUGGUUAUAGAGGAUGUGUUUUUGUUUGUUUGCUUGUUUUUAUUUCUUUUUUUUUUUUCCCUAGACUGUUUUCAUAGUAUCAGUUUAAAAAUUACUUUUAUGUUUUGAAGCUCUCUGAGGUUAAUGCAAAUAGAGAAUGAACUACAAGCAUAGUGCAGAACAUGUAGAGGCAAGAAAGGGUGAGGACUUCUCACUGCUCAGACAUGAGAAGCUUUAGGAGUAAACAUAAGAAAAUUCAUGUAACUUUCAUGCUACUUUCUUGAAGGAGGUGGCUAGCUUGUACAUAAAUUGGUAUAUCUGUUUUUGCUUUAGUAUCAGGAGUGUAGCUGAUAUAUGUUGUAUUACACUAGCUAUUACUUCUUCUUUUGAAGCACCUGGUUGACUUCCC